AAGUUUGUCACGACCCGAUUCCCGGAUCCAUUACCGGCACAUAAGCAAGGUUCCCCUCCAAGGUUCCAUACCUAUGCGAACCCAAACUUAUAUACAAACUUAUCUAUUAAAUAACUCAAUCAGAGUUCAACGAAGCAAUAACAACAAAACUAACUUUAUAAUAUAAUUCGAUUGUCUUAAUACAAGAGUUCAUAUAAAUUUAGAGUUUGGGAGCACUAACUAGACAUAAAGGGAAAUGUAUAAAUUACAACAAAAAGAACAAGUUCUGAAGGUCCAAUAAAAGUGACAUGCUAUCAAGCUAUAAGCCUGAAAAGGAUAAAUAAUGAGAGGGUGAGUUCAACAACUCAGUGAGUAGAUAAUGUUCAAUAUACACAACGAGAUAAUAUAAUAAUGAGAAUAUAUAUACAAUUAUGGCUCUAGGUUCUUAUAUGAAGGUUUCUCAAAUAGGCCAUAACAAGAAAAUCAGAAGGUAAAGCUCGUCAGAAAAUCAAAAUGCAAUGAGCAUGAGGCUCCGUACUGUGGGAUGAUCAGUCCACACAGGUUGGUGACUCCCCCGACCAACUAGGGUUCAGAUACGAUGUGCAUAAAGACUAACACUACCCUGUUAGCAUGGGUAUUCUGACUGGCAUACCAUAGGUUCAUAAUCAUAAUCAAACAGACAUAUUCAUAUCUCAAGGCUCAACUCAUGACAUCAAUCAAAUGAGGAGCUAUCAAUUCAAAAUAUAUACUGGUUCAUAUCAAGAAUUCAAAUUCAACAAUUAAUCAUGCUUUAUCAAAACAAGGAUAAUAAUCAACAUAUAUAUUAUCAAGAAGCAUGAUCCAAUUCAUAUUAACAAAUCAAAUAUUUAUAAUAUUUCUCAUGCAUAUGGAAAAUUAUCCACUCACCAAACUCGAAAGCAAACAGAAGUCAAAAGCAGAUACCAAAGGAAAUCCUAAUGGCGUCCCGCCGGUAGAAUAUCAGGAUUAUCUAAAUACAAAGGAGACAUAUUCAAGAAUGACUCAAAAGAACAUAUAACCUAUUUAAUACACUUAUCUAAAGGUAUAUUCCAUAACUCUAUAUGUUUUUGAACUAAAUUAGUUAUCUUCCUAAAAACCCAAAAUUAAACGGUUUUCCCGAAAUCUAAUCCAUAAUAAAACAAAUAAUAAAAUUGGUAAUAAUUCACUAAAUAACCCACAAUUAUUCAUCAAACCAAUCUGCAAAAGCUAAUAUUACAGCUAGGGACCAAUCUGUAAUUUAUCAUAUUUUUAAGGGUCAAAUUGUAACUUUGUCAAAUUGGAGGACCAAACUAAAAUUGUCAUAAAUCCAUGACUAUACUGAAAUUAUGACCAUAAUUAAUCAUCAUUUCUGUCCAGAAUAUCUCAUUAUGCUCUAGGGACCAUUCUGGAACUUUACCAAAUUUUUAGGGUCAAAUGGUAAUUUUUAUCAAAUUGAAGGACUAAAUUGAAAGUGUUAAAAUUUCAUAACUAUACAGGAUUCUGCCCAUAAUUCAUCUUUUAUUCUAUUCAGAAUCUCGGAAUAGGCUCCAGGGACCAAUCUGUAAAUUUUCCAAAGUUUGGGGACUAAACUAUAAUUUCCACAAAUUGAGGGACCAAUUUGAAUUUUUGUCAUCUUCAACCUUCAACCCAGAAUUUCAACAGAAAACCCACUGUUCUUUCCUGAUUUCUAACACAAAUUCACCAUUCAAACAAAAUCAUAACUCAAAAUCAUCAUAAUCUUCCAUAAUCAACUAAAUAAUCAAUUACCCACAACAAUCAACCCCAUAACAUUCAAUUUAAUUCAUCAAUUAAACUCAAAACAUAAAUUUUCAAAACCCUAACAUUCAUCAAAAUUGAAAUUAAAGUUCAAUUAACAUAUAUUUAUACAUUUAACAACCUAAAUCUUACCUUUAAACUUAUUUCUUCAAUACCUUUCUAUUUCCCUUCUAAUUUCCCUCUUUUCUCUUCUUCUUCUUCUUUCUCCCUUCUCUCUCACGGUUUGCU
rnacentral:lncRNA from 1 species